UACCAUUCUUUCUUGUUUUUGUGCAAAAUUUGUUUUUUGAGUGCACACACAUAUAAAUGAAUAAAUCCAAAUCUAGAUGGCUGUGGAAAUCAUAUUUCUAUUUUCAAGCUCAUAUACCGAUGCUACUUUCAGGCUUAUAUCAUUCUGAUUUACGCUCUUGUUGGGACUACAUCAAAAUUUGUUGUCUUGUCUCGAAUUAUUUUUUGUUUGAUUUGUGCGAUCACCAUGUGCUGUGGACCUUGUGGACCGUGCUGCGGACCAUUCGGAUUUAGCUGUGGACCAUGUGGACCCUGUUGCGGGCCUUGUGGACCACGUUGUAGACCGUGUGGAUCAUGCUGCGGACCUUGUGGUCCCUGUAGACCCUGUUGCGGUUCAUUUGGCAGUUGCUGUGGAGGGUGUUGGUGCUAACGCUUCUGAAACGAAAACCAUUAAGCAUACUCCUGUUGUAUCCAUUCUACACACAAUGCUUUAACCAACACCUGAUACUUUCAAACAAAAAAUAGUAUAUGGGACGCGGCAACAGUAAUAAAAAUGUAUACCUUUCA